GGGAGCUUGGCGCAAUGGCUAGCGUGUUUGGCUUCGAUGCUCACAUAAUGUGUACCAAAAGGUUGCAGGUUCGAGUCCUGCAGCUCUCU